rnacentral:tRNA from 1 species
GGGAAGGUAGCUCAGUGGUGGAGCACUUGCCUUGCAUGCAUGAGGCCCUGGGUUCAAUUCCCCAGCACCA